rnacentral:rRNA from 1 species
GAUGAACGCUGGCGGCGUGCCUAAUACAUGCAAGUCGAGCGAGCUUGCCUAGAUGAUUUUAGUGCUUGCACUAAAUGAAACUAGAUACAAGCGAGCGGCGGACGGGUGAGUGACACGUGGGUAACCUGCCCAAGAGACUGGGAUAACACCUGGAAACAGAUGCUAAUACCGGAUAACAACACUAGACGCAUGUCUAGAGUUUGAAAGAUGGUUCUGCUAUCACUCUUGGAUGGACCUGCGGUGCAUUAGCUAGUUGGUAAGGUAACGGCUUACCAAGGCAAUGAUGCAUAGCCUAGUUGAGAGACUGAUCGGCCACAUUGGGACUGAGACACGGCCCAAACUCCUACGGGAGGCAGCAGUAGGGCAUCUUCCACAAUGGACGAAAGUCUGAUGGAGCAACGCCGCGUGAGUGAAGAAGGGUUUCGGCUCGUAAAGCUCUGUUGGUAGUGAAGAAAGAUAGAGGUAGUAACUGGCCUUUAUUUGACGGUAAUUACUUAGAAAGUCACGGCUAACUACGUGCCAGCCGCCGCCGUAAAAC